rnacentral:rRNA from 1 species
UACAGGGGGUGCAAACGUUGCUCGGAAUUAUUGGGCGUAAAGCGCACGUAGGUGGUCAUCUAAGUUGGAUGUGAAAGCCCUGGGCUCAACCCAGGAAGUGCAUCCAAAACUGGAUAGCUAGAAUGUGGAAGAGGGUCGCGGAAUUCCCGGUGUAGAGGUGAAAUUCGUAGAUAUCGGGAGGAACACCAGUGGCGAAGGCGGCGACCUGGUCCAACAUUGACGCUGAGGUGCGAAAGCGUGGGGAGCAAACAGG